UGUGGUUGUUUAAGUGUAUUAUAUCACUUUGCACUUCGAUGAGUUGAUUGUGCAUUUUCUACAGCAGAACUUAUCUCUCCUGACCAGUUGAACUGUGAGUAAGCAAACUGUAAUUAUGUUUGUAAUAUACAGUUAAGUAUUAAUAUGACUUGUAUGUUGGCAGGGAUCUCCAUGGCCUGUUUAAUGAUGACACCCCGCCAUCGUUCAAAUGUCUUGCGCCAUCGUCAAAUGACUAGCGCCAUCGUUAAAUUGUCUUGCGCCAUCGUUAAAUUGUCUUCCGCCAUGGUUCGAAACUUCAUCGUUUUUAUUAGCCCGAUGCCAUUUUUUUAUCAAUUAUAAUCAAAUGCAUGUAAUUGCAUAACCCUUAGGCUUUUUAUGUUAUAAUCCAAUACAGUUCAAACGCCUGAGGGAUAUCCGGAUUAAGAUCGCUAACCACUUGCACCUGAGCUUGUACAGGUAGAUCAACAACCAGACAGGAGAACCAACUAGGUUAAAAAAGCUCUUUUCAACAUUGUUACAAUUCAGAUCUUUGAUAUGAGCACACAAUAUGCCUAGCCUCACUGGACACAAUUACGAAAGAUUUUUGAACUUUAAUUAUUUUUUUUCUUUGUAGAAUACUUUUCUUGAAUUGUUUGUACCAUAGAAUUAAAGAUGUAUGAAUGCUUUUCAUUUUGAAUCUAAACACACAUAACUUUCUA
rnacentral:lncRNA from 1 species